AUAUAGCCCUGAUCGAAGCGUACACGAAGUAAAGCGAAGAGCAGGAAUUACU
rnacentral:misc_RNA from 1 species